rnacentral:rRNA from 1 species
UACGGGGGGGGCAAGCGUUGUUCGGAAUUACUGGGCGUAAAGGGCUCGUAGGCGGUCAACUAAGUCAGACGUGAAAUCCCUCGGCUUAACCGGGGAACUGCGUCUGAUACUGGAUGGCUUGAGUUUGGGAGAGGGAUGCGGAAUUCCAGGUGUAGCGGUGAAAUGCGUAGAUAUCUGGAGGAACACCGGUGGCGAAGGCGGCAUCCUGGACCAACACUGACGCUGAGGAGCGAAAGCCAGGGGAGCAAACGGG